rnacentral:rRNA from 1 species
UACGUAGGGGGGCUAGCGUUGUCCGGAAUCAUUGGGCGUAAAGGGCGCGUAGGUGGUUCUGUAUGUCUACCGUGAAAGCGUACGGCUCAACCGUAUUUUGUCGGUGGAAACUGCAGGACUUGAGGCUGGGAGGGGCUGGUGGAAUUCCCUGUGUAGCGGUGAAAUGCGUAGAGAUGGGGGGAGAACACUCGUGGCGAAAGGCGGCCAGCUAGACCAGUUCUGACACUGAGGCGCGACAGCGUGGGGGAGCAAACAGG